rnacentral:rRNA from 1 species
UACAGAGGUCCCAAGCGUUGUUCGGAUUCACUGGGCGUAAAGGGUGCGUAGGUGGUGGAGGAAGUCGGAUGUGAAAGCUCGGAGCUCAACUCCGAAAUGGCAUUGGAAACUACUCCGCUAGAGGAUCGGAGGGGAGACUGGAAUUCUCGGUGUAGCAGUGAAAUGCGUAGAUAUCGAGAGGAACACCAGUGGCGAAGGCGAGUCUCUGGACGAUUCCUGACGCUGAGGCACGAAAGCGUGGGGAGCGAACAGG